rnacentral:ribozyme from 1 species
AUGUUAGUUUUAUUUCUUCAAACAUUUUUCAAAUAUUUUCAUUAAAAAAGGAAAAAAAAAAAAAACUAUAUAAAAAAAAAGCUAUUCCUGUUUGCUUGAAAGAUGUUUGCAAGCGUGUAUUUUA